UUUUGAAAAAACACAAAAAAAUUCAUAAUUUUUUUUUUCAGUCAUAUCCACACCAAAUAUGGAUAUGAUGAUUAGCAUAAUGCUAUGCAUGUACUGUGUGAAUUAGAAGAAACUCGCGCUAUUUCUUAAACAUAGGGGGAUCUCCCCCUUAAGCUUCAAGAGUGCCUGCCAACCUACCCUAGCCAGUAGGCUAGGGUAGGCUGUAUCCCCCCAUUGUCUCAAUACCUCGCUCUCGCAGCCAAUCAUAUCCCCGAACGUCAUCGCUCGUCUUUACCAUUGGAAGGGAAGCUAUUCGUAAACAAACUUUACAUGCCUCCUUCAGUCCUCCUGGCUUCGUACUGAAAUUUGUGCAACACGCAACAUAGAAUUAGACCUAGACUUUGAAGAUUCUGGCUACACAAAUAUUGUUAUUAGAAAUGAUCCCAGUUAUGUGCAUCUCAAGACAAGUGUAUGGAGUCCAGAUUAAGCAUGGAAAUGGAAAGAAAUCUUAGAGAAGAAAAAUAAUAUAUGCUUUACUGCCAAGAAAAUAUUAGAUUCACAGCUAUGCAUCUACCAUCAGAAAGUCAUUUGUCUGCAUGGAGAGAAAUGCCACAAAGGAAUUGUCUUGGCUACAAAGUUCAUGUCUAAGAUUCAUCAAGAGUUUCGGGAAUCUAGAGAAGUUGUGUUUGUUGAUACCACUUCUCAUGUUGACCAAAUAAACACAGCACUGACACCUCUUCUUUGUGCCAGCCCUGUAGGAGCUCUCCCUCUUGGUGUAAUAUUUACAUCAUCACAAGAGGAAACAAGUUACACCAAAGGUUUCCUCUUACUGAAGAAGGUGCUUGGUGAGAGGGCAUUCUACAGCCAAGGUCACCCAAAAGUCUUUAUCACGGACAGCAGUGACCCUAUGAGGAAGGCACUAAGAACAGUUUGGCCAGAAGCUGAACAAUUCCUUUGUGUUUUCCACAUUCUGCAACAAGUAUAGAGUGGCUACUUGAUGGGUCCCACAAGAUCAAGAAAGAGCAUCGCCCACUGCUGAUGAGCAUAGCCAAGCAGUUGGUGUAUGCAGACUCUGAAGCUCAGUUUUUUGAUCACUGGGAUGCCUUAUAUCAGACACCAGAGGGCAAGCGGUAUGAGAAAUAUACCAGAUACCUGACGACAAUGAUCGAGAGGAGGAAGGAAUGGAGCAUCAUGUACAGGGCUGGAAGUUUGCUGCGUGGCCACCAAACCAACAAUUUUGCAGAGGCCAACAUAGCAAUCAUCAAAGAUGUCAUCCUUAACAGAUGCAAGGCCUACAAUAUCACUCAGUUGCUAAUCUUCAUGAAUGAAAUAUAUGAUAAGUAUAUGCAGACAUGUCUCUGUGAUGUUGCACUGGGCUGAAGAAAACCAACAAAACCAGCCAAAAGUUCAAUUUCCCGGUAGUAGUAGUAAUGAGACUGGUGUACAGUAUGUUGUUGAUUUAAAAACUGGUAUAUGUGAGUGCAAAAUUGGUCAGACAGGUCAAGCAUGUAAACACCAAAUAGCAUGCUCAGAGGCUUACCUCCUGCAGUUGCCACAGAUAUUUAGCAAUACCCCUGAAAAUAGGCAGUGGCUUGCAGGUAUAGUUCUUGGCAAAGAAAAUGUGCCCCCUCUUGAUUUCUUUGCUGACUUUAAGGAAUGUCCUAAUAAGCAGGAAAACUCCAGUGGUCCAUCUUGUAAUCAUAAUGAAAAAACUGCUGUAACAACAUCCACAUCUCAUAAGACAGAAAAACAAGAACAUAGCAGGAGCAAUUCGCCUGCCAUACCUGAUGAGCACAGCAGUAACUAUGUCAGGGAAGGACUAGAGCUGAUGCAGUCCACAUCCACUGAAUCUGUGCCCCAAAAUGACAACAGUGUAGGUAAGACAGGAGCUGGCCGUGGUAAAAUACCUUGUCAGCCUACUUCGGUGGCAAGACGUAUUACUGGCAUGCCAAGAGGAGCUGCACCUUUUGGCAAAGGCCGAAAGCGGGAGGGGUAACCUUAUUGAUAAGGCUGCAAAACGACAAAGGAACUUAUCAAUAAAUGUUUCACAGAAUCAAGCUAAUGCUAAGAAUCAUGGUUCUGGCCAUUAAGCUGCUUAGCUGAAAUACUGUAUUAAUUUAAGAAACUACAUUUCUCAUGUUUGUAUUGUACUGAAUAGUUUAUCAGAGAGUAAGUUUUUGUCCAGUACUGUAUUUAGAUGUAUAUGUGGUGUAUCAAGCAUACAUCUCUGGAGAAUCAUUUCAUUAGUUUCCAGACAUGGUCAUGAUUAUGAUUACAUUCUUGCACCUCGUAAAACAAUUCCACAUCUUUCUGCUGGUACACUCUACACGGUGUCCUAAUUUUACAUACCUCUACAUCCCUCCUCUCAAAAAACAUUACCUUUCCCUACAUUCACUUUUAGUUUCCUUCUCCCACACACAUUAUAAAAUUCAUCUACCACUCUGAAGCUCCUCCUCACUCUCUGCAAGCAACAUAGUAUCAUCUGCAAAUAGACAUGCAACCACGACCCAACUCACUCCAUUCAACUUCUUGCUUCUACUUUUCCCACUUUGGCUUUCAUUUUCCUCAUACAACUAUCCAUGAAAAUAUUGAACAGCGAUGGCAACAUCACAUCCCUGUCCCACUCCCAAUCCUAUGGCAAAACUCUCGCUGAGUUCUCCAUCCACUCUUACCCAUGCAUUUGCAUCCCUACAGAAGGCCUUAACUCCUUCCAGUAACUGUCCUCUCACCCCAUAUAUAUUUAGAGCACUUCAUAGAGCCUCCCUUUCCAUCCUAUCAUAUGGUUUCUCUAGGUCCAUGAAGGCUGUGUACAAUUUUUUACCUUUUUACAAAUACUCCUCUAAAAUUAUUAUAAUUGCAGAUUGCUGAUCUACACAACCUUUUCCCUUCCUAAACCCUCCUUCCUCUUUACUAACCUUUCCUCCUGUUACUUCCAUCAAUCUCUGUCAAAACUCUCUCAUAUACUUCUGGCAAACUAAGAAAACAUAUUCCCUUAUAGUUAUUACUACUACCUUUGCCUUUCUCCACUCAUCUGGUACCUCUCUCUGUCUCCAUGCACAGUCACACAUCAACAACAUCCAUUCUAUCUCUUCAUCCAUGCUUUCACAUUUCUACUGUUAUUCCAUCUACCUACACCUGCGCUUUGCUACACUUUAGUCUAGCUAUUGCUUUUUUUACCUCUUCUUUACUAUUUCCUCUCUGCGCACACUUUUUCCCUGCUUCCAUUCCCAUGCUUGACACUAUUUUACAUUAAUCAGAAGACUCCAAAACAUUGCAUUUCUACUCUAGUUGAUAUUAAGUUGAAGGAAUUGACGGUCGAGCUUAUUUUUGAAGGAGUCAAUCGUGUUACACUGGACCACUGAUGGUGGGAGCUUAUUCCAUUCUCGCACUACAAUGUUGGUGAAGAAAAAUUUGGUGCAGUCUGAAUUUACUUGUCUACAUCUGAGUUUUACGCCAUUGUUCCUCGUGCGCAAAGUGUCAUCGAUCAUAAACAAUGUUGAUCUGUCUACAUUCGUGAAACCAUUAAGUAUUUUAAAACAUUCGAUCAGUUUUCCUCGGAGGCGACGUUUCUCAAGAGAGAACAUGUUAAGGGUAGAAAGCCUUUCUUCGUAGGAUUUGUUGCGCAAGGAAGGGAUAAUUUUUGUUGCCCAACGCUGAACACCUUCUAAUUUAGCAAUAUCCUUUGCAUGGUGGGGAGACCAAAACUGUACCGCAUAUUCCAAGUGGGGUCUGACUAAACUGUUGUAGAGCGGGAGUAUUACAUCUUUAUUCUUAAAUAAAAAGUUUCUUUUAAAUGGAGCCCAACAUUCUGUUCGCUUUAUUUGCUGCAUCGAUGCAUUGCUGUGAGAAUUUGAGGUUUGACGCGAUUUUGACCCCCAGGUCCUUGACGCAUUGAACGCUUUUGAGUUUAAUGCCGCGCAUUUCGUAAUCGAACUUCUUCUUCCUCGUUCCAACUUGAAGGACCUGGCACUUGCCUACGUUGAAGGGCAUCUCCCAUCUAUCCGACCAAGCUGAAAUUUUGUGCAAAUCCUCUUGGAGGCUUUGCCUGUCUUCGUCAGUGAGAACCGAGUUACCAAUCUUUGUGUCGUCUGCAAAUUUACUAAUGCGGUUAUUGAGUCCAACAUCCACGUCGUUGAUGUAAAUAAUGAAGAGCACUGGGCCAAGAACCGAGCCCUGAGGGACGCCACUAGUGACCGGCGCCCACUCUGAGUUAAAUCCGUCAAUCACUACUCUUUAUUGUCUGUUGCUCAACCAAUUCGCGAUCCAUUGGUUUACUUGACCGUCAAUACCUAUUUGCUUUAAUUUGUAAAGUAAUUUAUGAUGCGGGACUUUAUCAAACGCUUUCUGGAAAUCAAGAUAGACUACGUCCAGUGAUUUGGUUACGUUAUAAACAGUGAAGAGGUCGUUAUAAAAGGUUAAUAGAUUUGAUAGGCAGGAUCUUUUGUUUCGGAAGCCAUGUUGUGAGUCCCCAAUUAAUGAGUGGCUUUCAAGGUAACUCACAAUUUUGUCUCUAAUUAUGCCCUCAAGUAGCUUACCUACAACCGAAGUUAGACUAAUGGGCCUGUAAUUACCUGGUACUUUUUUGUCUCCUUUCUUAAAAAUCGGUGUCACGUUAGCCUUUUUCCAAUCUGAAGGGACGAUGCCUUGUCGCAACUUGCUUCCCCUUCCAUCUUGGCAUUCAUUAAGCAUUCAAAAUGUCUUCCAUACUCCUUUCACCUCCUCUUUACUACUCAUAAGAGCACUAUCCUCUUCACUCACACACUCAUUCACCCCAUUCCUCCUCUUUGUCUUUUAACCAUCUUUUCAAAACAACUUUUUAUUCUCAAAAAAAUUGUCAUUCAACUUCCUACCAAACUCCUCAUCUACUUUCCUUUUACUCUCAUUUACCAAAUCCUUAUCUUCUGUUGCCUCUUUUUUCUCAUGUGUCCUCCAUGCACUUCCCUUUCUUCCACCCUCCAACCGCUUCAGAUGUCGCAGUAGUCACUACACCUUUAAGCAGACUGAAUGCAGGAUCCAAACUUGUUUCUUCUCCAACUGCUGUCCUGGCUUCUCUCAGUCUCUCACAUACUUUACUCUCAUAUUCCUCUCUUGCCUCUUUUCUAUCUAUCUUUUCACUAGCUAACACUUUAUUCACCCUUACUCCUACUAUAUCCCCAUCAACCUUUCAUCCUGAUCUUUGCUAAAAUAGUAUCUGAUCCUUGGAACAUGAACAUUUACUACCUUUACAUAUAUUACAUCCUUUCAAAGUUUCUGAUCGCGAGUGCAGUGUAAUCAAUGCAGUGUAUACCUAUGGAUCAUUUUGUGGUGAAAGAAGGUGUUCACUAUAAACAAUUCUCUUCCAGCACUUAUGUCCACCAAUUGCUCACCAUUCUCAUUUACACCCUCCACACCCCACUUCCCUACCACACCCAGUGGCGUACCCAGAAAAUUGAAAAGGGGGGUGACCAAUAUAUAUAUAUA